AAAUGUAGUCCGAUUAAAGAAAUCAAUAAUCUUAUUGUAGAUAUUUUGUAAUCGACAGAUACGAUGGCAGAUAUUGUGCAGCAAGUCAUGACCAAGACUGACGGAUUGCCGGUUCAGGAGAAAAUAGGAGGAGCAGACGAACAUGCCGACGGUACCGAUGUUGAGUGUCAGGAUUCGCUCUCUGAAGAUGCUGAGAAGAAGUCCAACAAAAAGAACGGAAAAAACCCGAGAACGCCUUACAAAAUAGUGCACACGGGCAAGCGGGGAAGAAGAAAAAGAGCAAGAGCAAAAAGAGUCGGGGUGAGAAGGAGAAAAAACAGGAGAAGAAUUCAAGGCAGAAAACCGAUUUGGAGGAAGAGAAUAGUCUGUGUGGCUCUGUUUCCAGUAUUCCGAAGAUUCAAAUCAGCGAAUCAAGUACGCCGGACUCGAAGAAGAUGUCGGAGGCCUCUGGGAGUGCGGAAACUGUUGUCACGACGAAGUUUCCAGGUUCAAGCGAAUCGGGGGAGCCAUCUCCGGAAAAUUCCGGACGGAACACCCCGGAAGAAGUCAGCGAUCCGGUUCCGGCAACGGUGAGUAUCGAGAACGAGGCAGAUGCUGAGAACGGCCGGAAGUCCCUUAAAUUCGGCCUUUUCCGGAAACAUAAGACGACGCCGAUGAACUGCGAACCGGCCGAGGAGACGUGGUCGAGUAAGAGGAACAAGAUGGCCGAGUCACGGACACUGAGUCUGAGUCAAGCGUGGCGUAAAAAAGGCCGUGACGCGGUUAAGAUUUCUGCUGCGUCCGAAUCGGAUCUCACCAUACGAGAUCCGUAAUCCAGUUGCAAAGGUGUACAUUAUCGUCACGAUUUCUGGCGCGGUCACGUCAUAAGAACCCGAAUAGCACAGAUUGCAAUUUCAUGGUAAAAGUACUGCUAUACUGCAUAGGAGUGUGUUGCGUUGGGUAUGUUGCCUAUCUACAGAUUGAAGGAACUCUUAUUUCUUAUAUUUAUUGCAAUAAAAUUGAACUCAGUUGCUAUUUUUCAUUGCAUUGCAUUUUGCAUAUCUUUAUGACGUAUGGAUUUUAUGUUGUCGGUUGUUGAAAAUUGGCAUUUGUUCACCAAAUGACUCAAAAAAAAUUCUUAUAUUAUGGUAAAAAAUUGCAAUUUUAUUGCAAAAAAUUGCGACUUUUCACUCAUAAUUUUUGUUACACAGUGCUAUUUGGGAUGCAGACAGUUUUAAUUGGGACUACUGUUACCACUUUACUUUAAAAUCUAGUCACUUUAGCCUGAAAUUCUUUGUACUAUGUUUUAAGAGACAUUUUUUUUACCAGAAUUUCUAUUAUCAACCGCAAAAAUCUAUACAAAAAAUUCCCUCCACAAACUUUUCUUCCGAUUCUCAAAAUAACUUGGUGAAUCAAAGUUAUACAUUUGACUAAAGUAUAGGAUAAAAUAGAUAUAUAUCAUUUUUAAGUGCGAAUAAAACUUCCCUCAUACUAACUUUUAGGAGGGUAUACAUUAGGGUGGCGCGUUUUUGGACUUUUUUUCGUUUUGAAAAUGGACAUAGCACAAUAGUGGCGAAAUGGUCUAAAAACAACGCCUGAAUUUUCCUGAAUUUUUUCGUCAACAUUUAGGCCUCCCGGAUCGACGUUGAAGUCAGAAUUUGCGGAACAUUCAGAUUUUUGACGAUAACAUGGCAACAAUGGCAAAUACGACAUAAAUGAAUAGGACCAAAGUCGUUGGAAAUUAAAUUUCCAAAACAAAUAACUUUCUACUCGUUUUUUCUCUCAGUGCAACCGUUUUAGUGUAAAAUUCGAAAACCCGUAUUUUUCCAGAAAUUUGACACAAAUUCUCGUUCAGCCCAGGAGAAAUACGGGAGAAAAAGGGCUAACUUGGAACAAAUUGCGUGACUGACUUUUCCUACAAGAAUACCAUAAUCGGGAUGGCCUGAAUAACACAAAAAAUACAAAAUGUUGUCCACGUCUCCACCGCGGAAUACCCCCUAAAAUGCCUA
rnacentral:lncRNA from 1 species